GGCUGCCACUACCUUGACGCCAGAGUGUUUGCCAGUUUUGGGAAGCCUUUGCUGUGUAACUGGAAAACCUGGACCUUCUUCUCCUGGAAGGAUUACUGAGUACACACUGAGCAGGGGUAAACUUCCACAUGAUCCGUUCAAGUCCUCAUCGGAAAACCAAGUGACAGUCCGCUCCUUUACUCCUCUGGGUCUAACAUAUGUCUACCUGUCCGCUAUCCAACGAGUUCUCUAUCCUCUGGAUUAAUUCCCCACAAACUGGAUUCAAGGAUUAACAAGAGCCCCCUCAAAUACUUUCCGGUUCCGGUUUACCAGUCCACUGAGUUCCAGCUCCUACUUUUGUGUUUCAGCCACAUUCAAUUAAACCUGUU